GUAGGGAAUAUUGGACAAUGGGGGCAACCCUGAUCCAGCGACGCCGCGUGAGUGAUGAAGGCCUUCGGGUCGUAAAGCUCUGUUGCAGGGGAAGAACACAAUGACGGUACCCUGCUAGAAAGGAUCGGCUAACUUCGUGCCAGCAGCCGCGGUAAGACGAGGGAUCCUAGCGUUGUUCGGAAUUAUUGGGCGUAAAGCGGGUGCAGGUGGCUUGGUAAGUCAGAUGAGAAAGCCUGGGGCUUAACCCCAGAAGUGCAUUUGAUACUGCUGAGCUUGAGUGCUGGAGAGGCUAUUAGAAUUCCUGGUGUAGUGGUGAAAUACGUAGAUAUCAGGAGGAAUACCGGAGGCGAAGGCGGAUAGCUGGCCAGACACUGACACUCAGACCCGAAAGCGUGGGGAUCAAACAGGAUUAGAUACCCUGGUAGUCC
rnacentral:rRNA from 1 species